rnacentral:tRNA from 3 species
CGGGGCAUGGCGCAGUUGGUAGCGCACCUGCUUUGGGAGCAGGGGGUCGCCAGUUCGAGUCCGGCUGCCCCGACCA